UGAGCAACCUGCCCUUGACCCUGGAAUAACAGCUGGAAACAGCUGCUAAUACCGGAUAUGACCUCCGAUGGCAUCAUCUGGAGGUGGAAAGCUCCGACGGUCAAGGAUGGGCCCGCGGCCUAUCAGCUUGUUGGUGGGGUAACGCCUACCAAGGCGACGACGGGUAGCUGGUCUGAGAGGACGACCAGCCACACUGGAACUGAGAUACGGUCCAGACUCCGUAGGGAGG
rnacentral:rRNA from 1 species